CGAAAAAUCCUACAAGAAAUAAACACAGUUGUUACUGGCCCACAAAUCUUGAGCAUUACUUGUAGUAGGUAUGAUUGUUUUCACAGGAGUAGCAAGAGAAUUGGUGGAAACAUCUGAAAAUAAUGAGGGACAUUAAUAUAAAAACUGAGAGAGAAGAAAAUGAUAAAACUCUUUGUGUGCUCUAUUAGAAGAUUUGAAUGGAAGAAGAGAACUCAAGCUCAGCUACAGGAUGGUGGGCAUGGCGCCUGUGGAGAGAAAGAGAUCACUGGACAUCAAGGAAAAAAACCCGCCUCCAACAAAACUGCCUUACUCUGUUCCACUUGGGCAGAAGGGAGCCGGGAUCCAGG
rnacentral:lncRNA from 12 species